rnacentral:lncRNA from 1 species
AAGUGGAGAUACAAAAUGACCAUUUUCAUCACAGCCUUCUUGGGGAGUUGGUUUUUCUUUGGUCUCCUGUGGUAUGCAGUAGCGUACAUUCACAAAGACCUCCCGGAAUUCCAUCCUUCUGCCAAUCACACUCCCUGUGUGGAGAAUAUUAAUGGCUUGACCUCAGCUUUUCUGUUUUCUCUGGAGACUCAAGUGACCAUUGGAUAUGGAUUCAGGUGUGUGACAGAACAGUGUGCCACUGCCAUUUUUCUGCUUAUCUUUCAGUCUAUACUUGGAGUUAUAAUCAAUUCUUUCAUGUGUGGGGC